rnacentral:rRNA from 1 species
GGAUUAGUGGCGAACGGGUGAGUAACACGUGGGUGAUCUGCCCUGCACUUCGGGAUAAGCCUGGGAAACUGGGUCUAAUACCGGAUAGGACCUCGGGAUGCAUGUUCCGGGGUGGAAAGGUUUUCCGGUGCAGGAUGGGCCCGCGGCCUAUCAGCUUGUUGGUGGGGUAACGGCCCACCAAGGCGACGACGGGUAGCCGGCCUGAGAGGGCGACCGGCCACACUGGGACUGAGACACGGCCCAGACUCCUACGGGAGGCAGCA